AUGCAAUCUACCUUUUACAGAGGGAUAGCCCAGAGAAAUUUGGAUUAAUACCUCAUAGUAUAAUAGCUCGGCAUCGAGCAAUUAUUAAAGUCACAACGGUAAAAGAUGAGCAUGCGUCCCAUUAGCUAGUUGGUAAGGUAACGGCUUACCAAGGCUACGAUGGGUAGGGGUCCUGAGAGGGAGAUCCCCCACACUGGUACUGAGACACGGACCAGACUCCUACGGGAGGCAGCAGUGAGGAAUAUUGGACAAUGGGCGCAAGCCUGAUCCAGCCAUGCCGCGUGCAGGAUGACGGUCCUAUGGAUUGUAAACUGCUUUUGUACAGGAAGAAACAGUUCUACGUGUAGAACCUUGACGGUACUGUAAGAAUAAGGAUCGGCUAACUCCGUGCCAGCAGCCGCGGUAAUACGGAGGAUCCAAGCGUUAUCCGGAAUCAUUGGGUUUAAAGGGUCCGUAGGCGGUUUAAUAAGUCAGUGGUGAAAGCCCAUCGCUCAACGGUGGAACGGCCAUUGAUACUGUUAAACUUGAAUUAUUAGGAAGUAACUAGAAUAUGUAGUGUAGCGGUGAAAUGCUUAGAGAUUACAUGGAAUACCAAUUGCGAAGGCAGGUUACUACUAAUUGAUUGACGCUGAUGGACGAAAGCGUGGGUAGCGAACAGGAUUAGAUACCCUGGUA
rnacentral:rRNA from 1 species